UACGUAGGGGGCUAGCGUUGUCCGGAAUCAUUGGGCGUAAAGAGCGUGUAGGCGGUCCGGUAAGUCCGCUGUGAAAGUCGGGGGCUCAACCCUCGAAUGCCGGUGGAUACUGUCGGGCUAGAGUGCGGAAGAGGCGAGUGGAAGUUCCUGGGUGUAGCGGUGAAAUGACGCAGAUAUCAGGAGGAACACCUAUUGCGAAGGCAGCUCGCUGGGACGUAACUGACGCUGAGACGCGAAAGCGUGGGGAGCAAACAGG
rnacentral:rRNA from 1 species